rnacentral:rRNA from 1 species
GAUGAACGCUGACAGAAUGCUUAACACAUGCAAGUCUACCAAGAAUCACUUCGGUGAGGAAUGGUGGCGGACGGGUGAGUAACGCGUAAAUAAUCUGCCCUUUAGACUGGGAUAUCCUUUGGAAACGAAGGUUAAUACCGGAUAUUAUGAGAUGGACGCAUGUUCAACUUAUGAAAGCUAAAUGCACUAGAGGAGGAGUUUGCGUCCCAUUAGCUAGUUGGUGAGGUAAAGGCUCACCAAGGCCACGAUGGGUAGCCGGCCUGAGAGGGUGAACGGCCACAAGGGAACUGAGACACGGUCCUUACUCCUACGGGAGGCAGCAGUGGGGAAUAGUGGAAAAUGGACCAAAAGUCUGAUCCAGCAAUUCUGUGUGCACGAUGAAGGUCUUCGGAUUGUAAAGUGCUUUCAGUAGGGAAGAAAAAAAUGACGGUACCUACAGAAGAAGCGACGGCUAAAUAUGUGCCAGCCGCCGCAGUAACAC